ACGAACGCUGGCGGCGUGCUUCACACAUGCAAGUCGUACGGUAAGGCCCUUUCGGGGGUACACGAGUGGCGAACGGGUGAGUAACACGUGAGUAACCUGCCCACAACUUUGGGAUAACGCUAGGAAACUGGUGCUAAUACUGGAUAUGUGCUCCUGCUGCAUGGUGGGGGUUGGAAAGCUCCGGCGGUUGUGGAUGGACUCGCGGCCUAUCAGCUUGUUGGUGGGGUAGUGGCCUACCAAGGCGGCGACGUGUAGCCGGCCUGAGAGGGUGACCGGCCACACUGGGACUGAGAUACGGCCCAGACUCCUACGGGAGGCAGCAGUGGGGAAUAUUGCACAAUGGGCGCAAGCCUGAUGCAGCAACACCGCGUGCGGGAUGACGGCCUUCGGGUUGUAAACCGCUUUCAGCAGGGACGAAGCUUUUUGUGACGGUACCUGCAGAAGAAGCACCGGCUAACUACGUG
rnacentral:rRNA from 1 species